CAGCAGCCGCGGGAAUACGGAGGGUGCAAGCGUUAAUCGGAAUUACUGGGCGUAAAGCGCACGCAGGCGGUUUGUUAAGUCAGAUGUGAAAUCCCCGAGCUUAACUUGGGAACUGCAUUUGAAACUGGCAAGCUAGAGUCUUGUAGAGGGGGGUAGAAUUCCAGGUGUAGCGGUGAAAUGCGUAGAGAUCUGGAGGAAUACCGGUGGCGAAGGCGGCCCCCUGGACAAAGACUGACGCUCAGGUGCGAAAGCGUGGGGAGCAAACAGGAUUAGAUACCCGCGUAGUCCCUGUCUCUUAUAC
rnacentral:rRNA from 1 species